GACGGGGGGUCCUAGCGUUGUUCGGAAUCAUUGGGCGUAAAGCGAGAGCAGGUGGUUUGGUAAGUUGGAUGUGAAAUCCCCGAGCUUAACUCGGGAAGUGCAUUCAAAACUAUCAAACUUGAGUACGGGAGAGGGUCGUGGAAUUCCAGGUGUAGUGGUGAAAUACGUAGAUAUCUGGAGGAACACCGGCGGCGAAGGCGGCGACCUGGUCCGAUACUGACACUCAAUCUCGAAAGCGCGGGGAUCAAACAGG
rnacentral:rRNA from 1 species